GCUCAGGUUGGAAGGGACCUUAAGGGUUAUCUAACUCCAGCCCUCAAUUAGUUAUUUAUAACUAAUAUCCAGUGUUUUAGCAGUUUUAAAACACUGUAGUCAUACACUGGCAUUCCUGUCCUCCAGCCCCUUUCUUACACCGUUAGGAGCAAGUCAACAAUACACUCACAUUUCAUCCACUUGUGGGGGAAAAAAAAAGAAGAAAAAGGAACUCAAGCAAUGUUUUUCCCCAUCACACUCCAAAGACAAUUCAAACCUUGCUGCUACUGAGGCU